rnacentral:rRNA from 1 species
UGGGGAAUAUUGCACAAUGGGCGAAAGCCUGAUGCAGCCAUGCCGCGUGUGUGAAGAAGGCCUUCGGGUUGUAAAGCACUUUCAGUAAGGAGGAAAGGGUAGUCGUUAAUAGCGGCUAUCUGUGACGUUACUUACAGAAGAAGCACCGGCUAACUUCGUGCCAGCAGCCGCGGUAAUACGAGGGGUGCAAGCGUUAAUCGGAAUUACUGGGCGUAAAGCGCUCGUAGGCGGUUGAAUAAGCAAGAUGUGAAAGCCCAGGGCUCAACCUUGGAACUGCAUUUUGAACUGUUCAACUAGGGUACUGUAGAGGGUGGUGGAAUUUCCAGUGUAGCGGUGAAAUGCGUAGAGAUUGGAAGGAACAUCAGUGGCGAAGGCGGCCACCUGGACAGAUACUGACGCUGAGGAACGAAAGCGUGGGGAGCGAACAGGAUUAGAUACCCUGGUAGUCCACGCCGUAAACGAUGUCAACUAGCCGUUUGUGUCCUAGAGACGUGAGUGGCGCAGCUAACGCACUAAGUUGACCGCCUGGGGAGUACGGCCGCAAGGUUAAAACUCAAAUGAAUUGACGGGGGCCCGCACAAGCGGUGGAGCAUGUGGUUUAAUUCGAUGCAACGCGAAGAACCUUACCAUCCCUUGACAUCCUGCGAAUUAUCUAGAGAUAGAUUUGUGCCUUCGGGAACGCAGUGACAGGUGCUGCAUGGCU